rnacentral:misc_RNA from 1 species
CGCUUUCUGCUUCUGGGUAGCUUCUAGUCCGCACAAUGUCGGAACCCUUCACUUCCUUAAGCUCCGACCUCACAGAACUAAUCCUCUCCCACCUCCCUAUCCCCUCCCUCCUUCGUGCCUCCGUCGUAUGCAAGCGCUGGCAUUCCCUCAUCUCCAGCCCUUCUUUCCCUUCCCUUCCUCACCACAACCUUCCUUGGUUUUUCCUCCAUGGCCUCCACAACACCUCCUCCAAGAACAACCAGUCCUUCGCCUUCGACCCCUCCUCCAACUCCUGGUUUCGUAUCCCUUCUUUUCCUUUCCCUUCCCAUGACUUCAUUGGCUCCAAUGGGUUCCUCUUUUCCACCGCUCCUUCUUUCUCCUUUUCCCCUGUCCUCAAACCCCGUUGGAAAUCCACCUCUCCCCUUCGCUUUUCCAGGAUCAACCCACUUGUUGGCGUUUUCUUUGACCAUAAAGCUUCUCAAUCUCACAUAUCCAAGCCUCAUUUUAUAGUUGUUGGCGGUGUUCGAUUCAUUGGUAAUUUGGUUGAUAUCGAGGACAGAUUGGCUGUUGAAAUUUAUAACCCUUCUUCCGAUUCUUGGGAUCUCUGUCCGACUUUACCGGCUGAUUUUCGAUCCGGUAAUUCAUCUCAGACUUUAUCCUCUGCCCUGUUCAAAGGUAGAUUAUUUGUGUUUGGUAUAUACACUUUCUUUGUUUCUUUUUUCGAUUUGGAUAAGCAUGUUUGGAGCCAAGUACAGACAUUGAGGCCACCUGGUGUGCUUUUUGCAUUCCUGAUUGCAUGUCAAGAAAUGCUUGUUUUGGCUGGUAUGUGUAAUGGACCACGAGGGCCAUCUUUCAAUUUGUGGAGGAUUGAUGAGAAAAGCAUGGAGUUCAGUGAAAUUGCUAUUAUGCCUCAGGAUUUGCUUUAUGGGCUGGUUGAUAGCGAGGAG